GAAGGGCUGCUGGAGCGCGGCCAGAGCGGACGCCGAGGCCGAGGAGGCGCCGAGAGCGAGUGAGAGCUGCUAGCCAGUUGUCACCUCUCACAGAGAGGUCCACAUUUGCUGAAAUGUAACUCUUAUCUCAUGCACUGGGAGUGAUGAACUUCACUAGGAAAUCAUCGUUCUUUCUGGAAUUAGACGAUAUAAGCUGCAGCUCAGAAUCAGAGGUACCAGCAUGGCCACGGGGGAGACAAGCCCCGAGUAGGCUUUUGAAGUCCCUGAUGACAGAACUUGACUUCUGCAUGGCAUUUCUGGACCUGCCCUAAGCCAGCGAGGAGACCACUGCUAUCAAGGGAGCUUUAAUAUAUAGUUGACACUUGAACAACAUGGAUCUGAACUACACAAGUCCACUUAUUGGUGGAUUUUCUUCAGCCUCUGCCACCCUUGAGACAACAAGACCAAUACCUCCUCUUUUUCCUUCUCCUCAGCCUACUCAACUUGAAGAUGGUGAGAAUGAAGACCUUUAUGAUCAUCCACUUCUACUUGUUGAAUAGUAAAUAUAUUUUUUCCUUAUGGUUUUCUUAAUAACACUUUCUUUUCUCUUGAUUACUUUAUUGCCAGAA
rnacentral:lncRNA from 10 species